rnacentral:rRNA from 1 species
AUUGAACGCUGGCGGCAUGCCUUACACAUGCAAGUCGAACGGUAACGCGGGGCAACCUGGCGACGAGUGGCGAACGGGUGAGUAAUGCAUCGGAACGUGCCCAACAGUGGGGGAUAGCCCGGCGAAAGCCGGAUUAAUACCGCAUACGACCUAGGGGUGAAAGCGGGGGAUCGCAAGACCUCGCGUUGUUGGAGCGGCCGAUGUCGGAUUAGGUUGUUGGUGGGGUAAAGGCCCACCAAGCCGAAGAUCCGUAGCUGGUCUGAGAGGACGACCAGCCACACUGGGACGGAGACACGGCCCAGACUCCUACGGGAGGCAGCAGUGGGGAAUUUUGGACAAUGGUGGCAACCCUGAUCCAGCCAUGCCGCGUGCGGGAAGAAGGCCUUCGGGUUGUAAACCGCUUUUGUCGGGGAAGAAAUCUUCUGGGCUAAUACCUCGGGAGGAUGACGGUACCCGAAGAAUAAGCACUGGCUAACUACGUGCCAGCAGCCGCCGUAA